UACAGAGGGUGCAAGCGUUGUUCGGAAUUAUUGGGCGUAAAGCGUGCGCAGGCGGUGAUGUAAGACAGGUGUGAAAUCCCCGGGCUUAACCUGGGAACUGCAUUUGUGACUGCAUCGCUGGAGUGCGGCAGAGGGGGAUGGAAUUCCGCGUGUAGCAGUGAAAUGCGUAGAUAUGCGGAGGAACACCGAUGGCGAAGGCAAUCCCCUGGGCCUGCACUGACGCUCAUGCACGAAAGCGUGGGGAGCAAACAGG
rnacentral:rRNA from 1 species